rnacentral:rRNA from 1 species
UACGGAGGGUGCAAGCGUUGUCCGGAUUUAUUGGGUUUAAAGGGUGCGUAGGCGGCUUAUUAAGUCAGGGGUUAAAGACUAUUGCUUAACAAUGGCAGUGCCUUUGAUACUGAUAGGCUUGAGUACAGCUGAGGCAGAUGGAACGGGUGGUGUAGCGGUGAAAUGCAUAGAUACCAUCCAGAACACCGAUUGCGAAGGCAGUCUGCUAAACUGUUACUGACGCUGAGGCACGAAAGCGUGGGGAUCGAACAGG